rnacentral:rRNA from 1 species
GGGACACGUGGUAUCCUGUCUGAAUAUGGGGGGACCAUCCUCCAAGGCUAAAUACUCCUGACUGACCGAUAGUGAACCAGUACCGUGAGGGAAAGGCGAAAAGAACCCCGGCGAGGGGAGUGAAAAAGAACCUGAAACCGUGUACGUACAAGCAGUGGGAGCACCUUCGGGUGUGACUGCGUACCUUUUGUAUAAUGGGUCAGCGACUUAUAUUCUGUAGCAAGGUUAACCGUAUAGGGGAGCCGCAGGGAAACCGAGUCUUAACUGGGCGUUAAGUUGCAGGGUAUAGACCCGAAACCCGGUGAUCUAGCCAUGGGCAGGUUGAAGGUUGGGUAACACUAACUGGAGGACCGAACCGACUAAUGUUGAAAAAUUAGCGGAUGACUUGUGGCUGGGGGUGAAAGGCCAAUCAAACCGGGAGAUAGCUGGUUCUCCCCGAAAGCUAUUUAGGUAGCGCCUCGUGAAC